UCUUAUUAAGCUCUUUAGGUUCUUUGAUUAUUGUGUAUUACAUUUGAAUAUCAAAAUCUGGUUUUGUUUCGGAUUGAUUGAUGAAAUUUCCACUUUUUGAUUAGUGGGUUUUGUUUAUUUCAUCUUCUUAUGGUGGAUUACAGUGGAAAAGAUGCAGAAUUAGAAGGAUGUUUUUAUUCUGUCUUGUAAUCUAUAUUCAAAAGGAAUCAUCUGUUUUGAGGCCUUUAAAGAGUGAUGUUUGGAGACGGAUACAUGUCAAAGAACUUGUGGAGUUCCUAAAAAUGACUAAAUGAAGAACUUGUGGAGUUGAACAGGAAAGUUCAUCAUAUAGCUAGAAGUAGUUAAACAUUUAUCUCCCAACUGCCAAAGAUUGGUGGUACCACUAGUAAUGGACCUCGGCAAGAGGAACUAGCGAGUUUCUCAACACCUUGGGGUUAAAGCAUGGGAGUGAAGAAAGAACCUUUGUCAGAGGCAUUUGUAGCUCGCAUGCAAGCAAAGCUAUGAACGUGUAAGCAUGUUUAAGCUUCUUUGAAGAUGGAGAAGUGGAGAAGAUCUGCUGAGGUGAUUCUGAGGGAAUCACAGACAUGGCUACACAUGUGAGACUCCUGUAUCAAAUAGGAAUCAUCUGUUUUGAGGCCUUUAGAGAGUGACAUGGUUUAAAAAGGCGCUUUUGGGGCGAGCUUUUGGUCGCUUUUUUGCGCUUCAGGUCCUAGGCGCUUCUAGAGCGCCGCUUUACGAAUCUGUUUAUAUUAGGCAGUGAAAAGUCGGCCUUUGAAGCCCAGUAGGGCCUAUUUCACGUUUUCUAACUAAAUACUAAUAAACCUAAUUUAUAGGGCAUGAUGAUCAUGAUGACGAUGACUAUCUACAUGAUGAUAUGAAUGACGCAGACAUUCGUGGCUAGUAUAUUUAAAUAGCUCUUGGGUAGAAUAUAUGCUUAGUUAGUCGAAUUGUUCCUUUCAUUAUGUCUGAACUUCAUAGUUUUCUUUUAUUAGGUUGAUAACUUCUUAUUUAUAUAUAUUAUUAUAUAUUUCAAAAAGCUCGCUUCCGCUUUACGCUUUUGCAGCGCUUUACGCUUUGGUAUGAGUGCGCUUCGCCCCACGCUUUCGCUUUUUAAAACAUGUCAAAGAACUUGUCGACUAUGUAAAAAUUAAGCCCAACUUCAGAAAGACAGGCGCACUUUGCUGAACAGGAAAGUAUUUUCUGCUGAUGGAAUGGACCAAGAGCUCUUCCUCUGUCCUAGGAUGAUGUGGCUAGCAAUAAAACCUUGGUUGGAUGGAAGGGAGAAUGAACCUCUGGUAAAGGCAUUUCUAGCUCGCACGCUGGCGAAGUUAGAAAAGUGCAAGCACGCUUCAGCUUCUUUGAUAAUGAAGGUCAGUUAAUGUAAAAUUGUAAACCCGAAAGCAAUUGUACUAUAGUGGUAGUAGUUAGUAAUCUUUGUUAUGAGUAGAAGCACAAAAUACAAGAACUGCUUAUGCUUCAAGAAAAAUAAUCAGUAUAAUUGAGUUUUUGAUGAUCUCAUUAUAUUCUGUAAGUCACGCCUAUAGUUAU